rnacentral:misc_RNA from 1 species
GUGAAUCAUCAAAUUUUUGAACGCAAAUUGCACUCUCUGGUAUUCCGGAGAGUAUGCCUGUUUGAGGGUCAGUUUAAAUAAAAAUCGGUGUGGUUGCUGCCUUUCGUGGUGACGCACCGGAUGUGGGUCGUCUUGCCUUCGGUUAAGUGACUUAAAAUUUUUGAAUGAUAUCUGAACGUAUUUAAAUUUAUUUGGUACGUCUUGUAAUAUCGAAUGUUUAUUAGAAGUGGUCAUCCUCAUGACUCACGUCUAUAAUUUUUCAUCUAAUGACCUCAAAUCAGGUAAGAGUACCCGCUGAA